GUCGAGAAUCUUUCACAAUGGGGGCAACCCUGAUGGUGCGACGCCGCGUGGAGGAUAAGGUCUUCGGAUUGUAAACUCCUGUCAUGCGUGAACAAGGUUGCUUGGUUAAUACCUGGGCAAAUUGAUGGUAACGCAAGAGGAAGAGACGGCUAACUCUGUGCCAGCAGCCGCGGUAAUACAGAGGUCUCAAGCGUUGUUCGGAAUCACUGGGCGUAAAGGGUGCGUAGGUGGCGUGGUAAGUCAGAUGUGAAAGCCCGGGGCUCAACCUCGGAACUGCAUCCGAUACUGCCAUGCUAGAGUACUGGAGAGGUGACUAGAAUUCUCGGUGUAGCAGUGAAAUGCGUAGAUAUCGAGAGGAAUACCAAAGGCGUAGGCAGGUCACUGGACAGUUACUGACACUGAGGCACGAAGGCCAGGGGAGCGAACGGGAUUAGAAACCCGGGUAGUCC
rnacentral:rRNA from 1 species